GACGUAGGGGCUAGCGUUGUCCGGAUUUAUUGGGCGUAAAGAGCGUGUAGGCGGCCAUGUAGGUCCGGUGUGAAACUCGAGGCUUAACCUCGAGAUGUCAUCGGAAACCAUUUGGCUAGAGUCCGGAAGAGGUGAGUGGAACUCCGAGUGUAGAGGUGAAAUUCGUAGAUAUUCGGAAGAACACCAGUGGCGAAGGCGGCUCACUGGUCCGGUACUGACGCUGAGGUGCGAAAGCGUGGGAGCAACAGGGAUUAAGAAACCCGAG
rnacentral:rRNA from 1 species